AGUGGGGUGGCUUAGUUGGUUAAAGUGCCUGUGUAGUAGACUGGUAAUCCUGGGUUCAAAUACCAGUGGUGCCG